rnacentral:rRNA from 1 species
GAUGAACGCUGGCGGCGUGCCUAAUACAUGCAAGUCGAGCGAACGGACGAGAAGCUUGCUUCUCUGAUGUUAGCGGCGGACGGGUGAGUAACACGUGAAUAACCUACCUAUAAGACUGGGAUAACUUCGGGAAACCGGAGCUAAUACCGGAUGAUAUUUUGAACCGCAUGGUUCACAAGUGAAAGACGGUCUUGCUGUCACUUAUAGAUGGAUCCGCGCUGCAUUAGCUAGUUGGUAAGGUAACGGCUUACCAAGGCAACGAUGCAUAGCCGACCUGAGAGGGUGAUCGGCCGCACUGGAACUGGGGCACGGUCCAGACUCCGACGGGAGGCAGCAGUAGGGAAUCUUCCGCAGUGGGCGAAAGCCUGACGGAGCGGCGCCGCGUGAGUGAUGAAGGUCUUCGGAUCGUAAAACUCUGUUAUUAGGGAAGAACAUAUGUGUAAGUAACUGUGCACAUCUUGACGGUACCGAAUCAGAAAGCCACGGCUAACUACGUG